rnacentral:tmRNA from 1 species
GACUAGGAGAUCCGAGUAGAGGCACAGCGAACUGCGCACGGAGAAGCCUUGAGGGAAUGCCGUAGGACCCGGGUUCGAUUCCCGGCAGCUCCACCAGAAGGAUGGCUGUAAACGCCAGAAAUGCUGUAUUUGACCUGUCGUCACGAAACUCCAUUCGCUCGACGCUCGCCGGAACCGUCGCGAUGUCUUGAGAUCCUCCCGUCAGGACCUACACAGUCGAUCUGACGCCCCCACUUAGAAAGACGCCCAUGCGCUCGGGGUUGGGGAUCGACUGCCCGGCCGUUCACAAAUCCCCGCUCCGGGGAUACAGACAGGCUCCAGAACCGCUAGCAGAUGCGCCAUCACCAGCGGCUCACAUGGGCGGUGAUAGCGCAUGCGCAAUCAAAAACGAAACCAACACAUAUCCCCCGACUGGACAUCACCGCACCCCGCUCCAGGGAUACAGACAGACUCCAAAAUUGCUAGCAGAUGCGCCAUCACCAGCGGCUCACACGGGCGGUGACAGCGCAUGCGCCAUCAAAGGCAAAACCACAGGUGGGGGCAACCUGUCCUCGUCGACCCUGUUCAGCCCGAACCACCAUCGGGCGCCGGAGUUCGGUGGUCGCCUGAUGGGGCUCUACGCGUUGCUUGAAACCCACCCGUCGGCAAGACCCCGGAGACCAUCUGCCAGUGUCAUGAGAUGACUGCAAAGAAGCCCAAG